GUAGGGACCAGUGAAGGGGAAACUGAGGCCCCACGGGGCCAGCUGCGCACCCAGAAGUGCAGGGAAGCGGGGCUGGGCUCCUUUGAGCAUGCUGAAAGGAGGCAGGAGUCAUCUGCUGGGCACAGCGGGGUUGGGUGCACACAAUCCCAUGGGGCAGGAGGGUGGAAUGACUGCACCCUGGGGGCAGAGGACCCCAGAGCUCCUGGGUCUCCCCACCUG
rnacentral:lncRNA from 1 species